rnacentral:snRNA from 1 species
AGAUGUGAGGGUGAUCUUACUGCAAUAUCUAUCAUCCCAUUGAUCACCCAGGAUAAUUUAGCUGAUCUGGCUGGCUAGGCAACUGUUCCCUUUGUCCCUCUUUGUUCUUUGUGUCCCUCCUGAAGCCAUGCCCUCUCUGGAUGAAGCAGGAUGACCUUCCCCAAUGGAGGUGUAUGGUCAAGUGUAUGGAAGUAGCUGUGUUCCCCUGCUAUCCUCUGUAAACAAAUUGUGAUAAAUACCUUCCAACUGAUACUUAGAAUUAAACAUAUAAAUCUUAGCUUU